rnacentral:rRNA from 1 species
AGCGAACGCUGGCGGCAGGCUUAACACAUGCAAGUCGAGCGGGCAUGGCAAUAUGUCAGCGGCAGACGGGUGAGUAACGCGUGGGAACGUACCUUUUGGUUCGGAACAACUGAGGGAAACUUCAGCUAAUACCGGAUAAGCCCUUACGGGGAAAGAUUUAUCGCCGAAAGAUCGGCCCGCGUCUGAUUAGCUAGUUGGUGAGGUAAUGGCUCACCAAGGCGACGAUCAGUAGCUGGUCUGAGAGGAUGAUCAGCCACAUUGGGACUGAGACACGGCCCAAACUCCUACGGGAGGCAGCAGUGGGGAAUAUUGGACAAUGGGCGCAAGCCUGAUCCAGCCAUGCCGCGUGAGUGAUGAAGGCCCUAGGGUUGUAAAGCUCUUUUGUGCGGGAAGAUAAUGACGGUACCGCAAGAAUAAGCCCCGGCUAACUUCGUG